GACGAACGCUGGCGGCGUGCCUAAUACAUGCAAGUAGAACGCUGAAGGAGGAGCUUGCUCUUCUGGAUGAGUUGCGAACGGGUGAGUAACGCGUAGGUAACCUGCCUGGUAGCGGGGGAUAACUAUUGGAAACGAUAGCUAAUACCGCAUAAGAGUAGAUGUUGCAUGACAUUUAUUUAAAAGGUGCAAUUGCAUCACUACCAGAUGGACCUGCGUUGUAUUAGCUAGUUGGUGGGGUAACGGCUUACCAAGGCGACGAUACAUAGCCGACCUGAGAGGGGGAUCGGCCACACUGGGACUGAGACACGGCCCAGACUCCUACGGGAGGCAGCAGUAGGGAAUCGUCGGCAAUGGACGGAAGUCUGACCGAGCAACGCCGCGUGAGUGAAGAAGGUUUUCGGAUCGUAAAGCUCUGUUGUAAGAGAAGAACGAGUGUGAGAGUGGAAAGUUCACACUGUGACGGUAUCUUACCAGAAAGGGACGGCUAACUACGUG
rnacentral:rRNA from 1 species